GUGCUCGCUUCGGCAGCACAUAUACUAAAAUUGGACCAAUACAGAGAAGAUUAGC
rnacentral:snRNA from 1 species